GCGGAGGUUACCAAGUCAGGCCAAAGGUGCUAGACCGAGGCUCUAGUCUCGUAGGAGUCCGCGAGUUCAAAUCUCGCCCUCCGCACCA
rnacentral:tRNA from 1 species